CCUACGGGAGGCUGCAGUGGGGAAUAUUGGACAAUGGGGGCAACCCUGAUCCAGCCAUGCCGCGUGUGUGAAGAAGGCCCUCGGGUUGUAAAGCACUUUCAGUGAGGAAGAACGCCUGGUGGUUAAUACCCAUCAGGAAAGACAUCACUCACAGAAGAAGCACCGGCUAACUCCGUGCCAGCAGCCGCGGUAAUACGGAGGGUGCGAGCGUUAAUCGGAAUUACUGGGCGUAAAGCGCGCGUAGGUGGCUUGAUAAGCCGGUUGUGAAAGCCCCGGGCUCAACCUGGGAACGGCAUCCGGAACUGUCAAGCUAGAGUGCAGGAGAGGAAGGUAGAAUUCCCGGUGUAGCGGUGAAAUGCGUUGAGAUCGGGAGGAAUACCAGUGGCGAAGGCGGCCUUCUGGACUGACACUGACACUGAGGUGCGAAAGCGUGGGUAGCAAACAGGAUUAGAUACCCCUGUAGUC
rnacentral:rRNA from 1 species